AGUUUGAUCCUGGCUCAGGACGAACGCUGGCGGCGUGCUUAACACAUGCAAGUCGAGCGGGGUCCAACUUGUCGCAAGACAAGGGAAGACCUAGCGGCGAACGGGUGAGUAACACGUGAGGAACCUGCCCCGAAGACUGGGAUAACACCGGGAAACCGGUGCUAAUACCGGAUGCCCUCAGAGAAUCGCAUGGCUCUUUGAGGAAAUGGAUUCCGCUUCGGGAGGGCCUCGCGGCCUAUCAGCUUGUUGGUGGGGUAACGGCCUACCAAGGCUCCGACGGGUAGCUGGUCUGAGAGGACGACCAGCCACACUGGGACUGAGACACGGCCCAGACUCCUACGGGAGGCAGCAGUGGGGAAUCUUGCGCAAUGGGCGAAAGCCUGACGCAGCAACGCCGCGUGCGGGACGAAGGCCUUCGGGUUGUAAACCGCUUUCAGCAGGGACGAACAUGACGGUACCUGCAGAAGAAGCCCCGGCCAACUACGUGCCAGCAGCCGCGGUAAUACGUAGGGGGCGAGCGUUGUCCGGAUUUAUUGGGCGUAAAGAGCUCGUAGGCGGUUUGGCAAGUCGGGUGUGAAAACUCCGGGCUCAACUCGGAGACGCCACUCGAUACUGCCAUGACUCGAGUCCGGUAGGGGAGUGCGGAAUUCCUGGUGUAGCGGUGAAAUGCGCAGAUAUCAGGAGGAACACCGGUGGCGAAGGCGGCACUCUGGGCCGGUACUGACGCUGAGGAGCGAAAGCGUGGGGAGCGAACAGGAUUAGAUACCCUGGUAGUCCACGCCGUAAACGUUGGGCACUAGGUGUGGGGCUCGAUCGACGGGCUCCGUGCCGUAGCUAACGCAUU
rnacentral:rRNA from 1 species